rnacentral:rRNA from 1 species
GACGGAAGGUGCAAGCGUUGCUCGGAAUUAUUGGGCGUAAAGGGCUCGCAGGCGGUCUUCUAAGUCUGAUGUGAAAUCUUGCGGCUUAACCGUAAGCGGUCAUUGGAAACUGGAGGACUUGAGUACAGAAGAGGAGAGUGGAAUUCCACGUGUAGCGGUGAAAUGCGUAGAGAUGUGGAGGAACACCAGUGGCGAAGGCGACUCUCUGGUCUGUAACUGACGCUGAGGAGCGAAAGCGUGGGGAGCAAACAGG